rnacentral:sRNA from 1 species
GAUGCUGAGAAGCGGCCGCUCUGACCGCUGCCCACCCGAGUCGGGCUGGGAGGACCGCCCGCCGCGUGGCGAGGGAUGCGGCCUCGGAGGGGCAGAGGCUGAACCGCCCCUGCCUGCCGCGCAUCCCUCCGGCUUCCGCCGCGGCGCCAGCCCGCGCCUGAUUCGCGGCGGGAGCGGCAGGAGGGAGAACGCCGACUCUGUGGCAGGAAAGUGAAUAAACUUAAUUGAGAAUGUCUGAAAACCUUGACAAGUCCAAUGUAAAUGAAGCAGGAAAAUCAAAAUCCAAUGAUUCUGAGGAAGGCCUCGAAGAUGCUGUGGAAGGUGCUGAUGAAGCCUUACAAAAAGCAAUAAAGUCAGACUCCUCCAGCCCCCAAAGAGUGCAGAGACCUCAUUACUCUCUUAUCUUUCUUGCUGCCUGGUCAUACUAGACUGAGAAACCAGAUAACAGAAGUCUUGGAUCUGGAUCUGAUAAAGCAGGAAGCAGAGAAUGGGGCCCUAGACAUUUCCAAGCUGGCAGAAUUCAUUAUUGGCAUGAUGGGGACACUGUGUGCACCUGCUCGAGAUGAGGAAG